GGGUCAGUAGGUUGGUCGUGCCACCGGUACGUACUGGUCUCACUGAUUCCUCCUUCCUGAAGAACCGUAAUGCCAUUAAUUUGGUGUCGCGGGGAAACAGGACUGUUACUUUGAAAAAAUUAGAGUGUUUGAAGCAAGCUAACGCUUGAAUACAUUAGCAUGGAAUAAUGAAAUAGGACGAUCGAUCCUAUUUUGUUGGUUUCUAGGAUUGACGUA
rnacentral:rRNA from 1 species